rnacentral:rRNA from 1 species
CCUACGGGUGGCAGCAGUGAGGAAUAUUGGUCAAUGGGCGGAAGCCUGAACCAGCCAAGUAGCGUGCGGGAUGAAUGCCCUACGGGUCGUAAACUUCUUUUGCACGGGGAUAACACGCGCCACGUGUGCCAGUCUGCAGGUACCGUUUGAAUAAGGGCCGGCUAAUUCCGUGCCAGCAGCCGCGGUAAUACGGAGGGCCCGAGCGUUAUCCGGAUUUAUUGGGCUUAAAGGGAGCGUAGACGGGGGGUUAAGGCAGUAGUGAAAGCUGGCGGCUCAACCGCCCAACUGCAGUUGAUACUGGCAGGCUUGAGUGCAGUAGAGGCAAGCGGAAUUCGUGGUGUAGCGGUGAAAUGCGUAGAUAUCACGAGGAACCCCGAUUGCGAAGGCAGCUUACGGGACUGUGACUGACGUUGAGGCUCGAAGGUGUGGGUAUCAAACAGGAUUAGAUACCCGGGUAGUC